GAUGAACGCUGGCGGCGUGCCUAAUACAUGCAAGUCGAGCGAACGGACGAGAAGCUUGCUUCUCUGAUGUUAGCGGCGGACGGGUGAGUAACUCGUGGAUAACCUACCUAUAAGACUGGGAUAACUUCGGGAAACCGGAGCUAAUACCGGAUAAUAUUUUGAACCGCAUGGUUCAAAAGUGAAAGACGGUCUUGCUGUCACUUAUAGAUGGAUCCGCGCUGCAUUAGCUAGUUGGUAAGGUAACGGCUUACCAAGGCAACGAUGCAUAGCCGACCUGAGAGGGUGAUCGGCCACACUGGAACUGAGACACGGUCCAGACUCCUACGGGAGGCAGCAGUAGGGAAUCUUCCGCAAUGGGCGAAAGCCUGACGGAGCAACGCCGCGUGAGUGAUGAAGGUCUUCGGAUCGUAAAACUCUGUUAUUAGGGAAGAACAUAUGUGUAAGUAACUGUGCACAUCUUGACGGUACCUAAUCAGAAAGCCACGGCUAACUACGUGCCAGCAGCCGCGGUAAUACGUAGGUGGCAAGCGUUAUCCGGAAUUAUUGGGCGUAAAGCGCGCGUAGGCGGUUUUUUAAGUCUGAUGUGAAAGCCCACGGCUCAACCGUGGAGGGUCAUUGGAAACUGGAAAACUUGAGUGCAGAAGAGGAAAGUGGAAUUCCAUGUGUAGCGGUGAAAUGCGCAGAGAUAUGGAGGAACACCAGUGGCGAAGGCGACUUUCUGGUCUGUAACUGACGCUGAUGUGCGAAAGCGUGGGGAUCAAACAGGAUUAGAUACCCUGGUAGUCCACGCCGUAAACGAUGAGUGCUAAGUGUUAGGGGGUUUCCGCCCCUUAGUGCUGCAGCUAACGCAUUAAGCACUCCGCCUGGGGAGUACGACCGCAAGGUUGAAACUCAAAGGAAUUGACGGGGACCCGCACAAGCGGUGGAGCAUGUGGUUUAAUUCGAAGCAACGCGAAAAACCUUACCAAAUCUUGACAUCCUUUGACAACUCUAGAGAUAGAGCUUUCCCCUUCGGGGGACAAAGUGACAGGUGGUGCAUGGUUGUCGUCAGCUCGUGUCGUGAGAUGUUGGGUUAAGUCCCGCAACGAGCGCAACCCUUAAGCUUAGUUGCCAUCAUUAAGUUGGGCACUCUAAGUUGACUGCCGGUGACAAACCGGAGGAAGGUGGGGAUGACGUCAAAUCAUCAUGCCCCUUAUGAUUUGGGCUACACACGUGCUACAAUGGACAAUACAAAGGGCAGCGAAACCGUGAGGUCAAGCAAAUCCCAUAAAGUUGUUCUCAGUUCGGAUUGUAGUCUGCAACUCGACUACAUGAAGCUGGAAUCGCUAGUAAUCGUAGAUCAGCAUGCUACGGUGAAUACGUUCCCGGGUCU
rnacentral:rRNA from 1 species